AAAGAUACAAGACAUAGCACGCGGGGUGAAAGGUCAACAGAUCGUCAACAUUGUGACAAGAUGAAUUCUCUUGUAGUCUACAUCAUAUACUUUGCCAUCUGGCUCUUCUUCAUUACCCAAGGUUUUGCUGUACCGUGUAUAUGGAAGUGCUGGGGUACAGGGAAAGACAGGCACUGUGAACUAGUUUGUCUCAACUUUAAAGGAACAAUAUAAAGCAUUUCCUCAAUGGUCUAAUGUCACCUACAAGUCUAGCAAGUCUGACUGAAGUGAUUCAGAUUUUACUCCGAUUGUAAAAGAAAAAAAAUAGUGAUGUUUUUGAUCA